rnacentral:rRNA from 1 species
AACGAACGCUGGCGGCAUGCCUAACACAUGCAAGUCGAACGAAGCCUUCGGGCUUAGUGGCGCACGGGUGCGUAACGCGUGGGAAUCUGCCCUUGGGUUCGGAAUAACAGUUAGAAAUGACUGCUAAUACCGAAUGAUGUCUUCGGACCAAAGAUUUAUCGCCCAAGGAUGAGCCCGCGUCGGAUUAGCUAGUUGGUGAGGUAAAGGCUCACCAAGGCGACGAUCCGUAGCUGGUCUGAGAGGAUGAUCAGCCACACUGGGACUGAGACACGGCCCAGACUCCUACGGGGGGCAGCAGUGGGGAAUAUUGGACAAUGGGCGAAAGCCUGAUCCAGCAAUGCCGCGUGAGUGAUGAAGGCCUUAGGGUUGUAAAGCUCUUUUACCCGGGAUGAUAAUGACAGUACCGGGAGAAUAAGCCCCGGCUAACUCCGUGCCAGCAGCCGCGGUAAU